AGAUAUACAAAUAGCUGUAUUUUUUACACAGCGAUUCAAAGUGGAACGGUCUCACUUUCCCGGCUUUGAUGUGCGUCAACCCAAAAGCUAUAGUUUGCAGGCCUUCAAGAAGCGAGUUGGGUUCUUGGGUAGCAGUUUUUACAACUGUCCGGCGGCCUUGUAUAAAUGGAGAUCCCUUACCUUGAACAGAAAAACGUCAGAUUAUAAAUGUCUGUGUUUCAAAGAUAUUUUUUUAAAAAUUUGCUCUUGAAUUCCUAACCCAGUGUGGAUGAUUAUCGGAACUCCUACAUUGAAUUACCCUCUGGUUCGAUGCAAACCACCAGUGUAUCAUCUUUCAGUGGAAUGUCUGCAUGAUUCCAACUUGUUCGCUCUCCUGCUUCAUGUCGUGGUCAAAAGUUUCUGUGCCUUGGACUUUACACACCCUACAUCUGGAAUGGAAGAGCUGGAAACAUUGCUGCAAUUCCACAUUGAUCCUAAAAUCGAUCCUGGCCUUGUGUACCAUACCUUUCGCUCUGACAACAGCAACAUUAAAUUCAGAUUUGUAGAAGCUUUAGAUAUGGAACACCUCCAUGAAGUCAUGAUACAUCUAGCUCCAUUAGAAUUGUCAUAUAAAGCUCAGUAUCAAUUAAAAAACCUUGUGAUGGACAAGGAUGUCGGCUUGCUGUUCUUCAAUCUUCAUCUUCAAUCUUCUUAGUGAAGGAGUCAAUCUUCCCUAUGCCAGUUUCACACAUUUCCUUCUUGGCUUGAGCAUUCAGGCUCUAUUAAGCAAAACAGUAGCUGGAAUCCGCGAUCAGGCUCGGAGAUGUUUCCAUGCACAUGGAUUUUGGAGAUAAAUAUUCUCGCAGAUGGUCACUCUGCUGAUGCCAAUUCGCGUGCUUUUGAAGUGACCAAAAAACUCCUCUACCAGCUUGCUUUGUUCUCAUCCUAAUCUGUCGGAUGUUGCUGAGAAAAUGCGUCACCCAUCCGUUUGCUCCGGAAAGAUCUCAAUUUUCGCAGCUCUCACAAAUGACUUGGUUGCUAAAAGCCGUAGCUGUCGAAGUUUAAAUUGCCUCGGAAAAGGGUCUUCAUCACACUUUUCUCGAAGUGGAUGAAACGAUUGAAUAGUCACGAUGGGCAAUAUUUCUGAAAGAUCUUUGCUUUGUGGCUCUUUUUUUCUGGGAACAGUACAAAAAUAUCAUGCGAUCUCGACCCAAAAUUGCUGUCCUGUUGAACUCCGUCAAUCUUCAGGUUUCCUAUAAUUGACUACUCCCACUAUGGAACUCUUCGAUCUAGGUGCCAUCGAAGCGUUGGUUAAGCAGUGUGAAAUCAUCAGUGAAGUCCAGCUAACGAAAGUUGCUUUAAUGCUUUGUUUCAGAAUAACUUGCGAAGCGAAAAUUUUACCAACGUGGCUCUUGGCCAACGCCAACAAAUUCUACAAAAAAUUCCGAACACUCUUUUGUGUGUAGUGCAACAAAACAACAUUCGAUUGGAGCUUUGGGGCUUUGGGCUCGUCGUUUCUUUUACACGCCUCUUUUUUCCGGACAUGGCCCAUCGAUUUCACCGAAAACUUUCCCCUGCUCUUCAAGCUUCCAACACCAUGCUUACUGCUCUUGGAAACCGUCUGAGUUGGAUUUUUCUAGGCGAUGGCGAUCCACUCUUAUCUCUCGCACAGCGAAACAAUGAGCUAUUUUACAGAAUCGAUACUAAGACUUCUCAGUUGGAGGAAACGUGAGGCGUUACUCACCGAAGUGAUUUCUCACGCUGCUGUUUGGAACGCAGUGUGUGAGGAAGUCUCCAGCUGCCAUGGAGUUACGCAAGCAGCUGAGUCGUCUCGAGCAAGUGACUCUUAACCUAUUGCCCAUCUUCAUCUGGUCGAAAACACUUUGUAGGAAUUUAGUUUCCUGUCCAGAUGAAUCGAAGGCGGAAGCAGAAGGCGGAGACGGAUAGCCUCAGUUUAUUAAGAGCAGGCAUGAUUCCUGCUCUCGAUGAGGAGCAAUUAGCAGAACCCCAUCACGAACGUUCCGUAUGCCAAACCAAUUCCACGUUACUUCCAGGCACAAUGAAAAGAGCUAGUAAAAAACCUUACCCACAUCCAGCCUAUCGUCAGCAUCUGGUGUACCGUCUGAUGAAGAGGAUCACGUCCUCGGUGUUGAUCCCGUUACCUUGGGAAUGCAACAGUUGGGUGGCGCAUCAUUGACCUUGUUUGACAUGCCUGUCAAUGAUCCAAAGUGGAUGCAUUGUUGCUCGACACGGCUCAGUCAUUACCUGUUACUCAACUUCCCACUCCCGACUGCAGUCAUUAUGGACGCCGCGAGACUGUCCAUCGAAGCUGAUUAAAAGUUAGAGCGAGCCAUUCGUCACGGCGAAGAAGAAUUAAAUCAGGUUCUACCGUCAAUGGGCUUGAAAAGUGACUGUUGAGGAGGAAACUAAACCCAAAAUAAUUCCAACUGGCGAAUAUAAUCAAGAUCGAGAAUUGGACGACCGCGAUUUUUAUCCGCGCUCUCGAACACCUGUUCUGGACGUCUCUACGUGCUACAACAGGGGUCAUUCAUCAGAGAUUGGUCUAACAUCGACUGGGAAUUUUCUAGGAGACUUCCCUCAGAGAGUCAUCAUUUACCACCAGGAGCUGAACAGCAAUACCACCACCAUCAAUUACCACAGCAACCGCAGCAACAACAACUGCAGCAACACAAUAACCACUAUAAUCACCACGGUGUUCCACCUCAAGAAAUAGGAAAUUGGGAUCGUCCCCCUUUCGAACUACAACAGCAACCAGGAACCAGAUUGCUUUCAUUCUCGACCACCUCAUAGCCAGGGCCCAAUGAAUAGACCCUACUUUCAGCCACCGCACCAUCAGGGCCGAUUUAAUCAAAGUGGACCUCUACUUCCACCUCCAGGCAGAGAAUAGGGAGAGGUCAUCACGGACCACCAGGUGGAGAUCAAGCGUGGGGUGGUCUACCAUAAAUCUAUGGAUAAUGAAGAAGAAUGCAUUAUAUAGGAAUUGGAGGACCCACAAUGCAGCCCAUUGAAGUCGACAUGCGGAUGGAAGGCGGUUAUCCGCCUCCCCCACCUCCACGAAUGAGUGAUCGGCAUGGCGAAGGAAACUUUUGGCGGUUGGGGUGCAGGUCCUGAUCCCAACAACUAUCGAGGAGGUGGUGAACCUCCCGGUUCUUAUGACAGAAGCGAAGAGGAUGACCAGGUCAUUUCGCUCCAAACUAUCCUGGACAAUUCCAUCCACCACCACCGCAUCAUCAGCCUCCAUCAGGCCGUUUGAAUCCAGAUGGCGUAGGUAUUCAAAGAGGAGGAUACAACAACUAUUGAUGGCGGAGACCUAUCUAGAGAAGAAUGGUAGUCAUUUCAGAAGCUGGGCCAUGGCUCAGUAGAAGUAUCGUGGUCAUUUACAACAUUUCUUUGGACAACAUUUCUACUAAUAUGUUUUUAUACUGCAAUUAAUUCUGAAAAUGAAGAAAUGAACAAAGUUGGAGAAA